UUACGCCCACAUCAUGUUGAAACACCUGUUUCCGUACGAUCACCAAAGUUAAGCAAUAUCGGGUAUGGUCCGUACCUAGAUGGGUAACCGCUUCGCAGUACCAGGCGCUGUAAG